rnacentral:rRNA from 1 species
UACGGAAGGCAGCAGUGGGGAAUAUUGCACAAUGGGCGCAAGCCUGAUGCAGCCAUGCCGCGUGUAUGAAGAAGGCCUUCGGGUUGUAAAGUACUUUCAGCGGGGAGGAAGGCGAUGCGGUUAAUAACCGCGUCGAUUGACGUUACCCGCAGAAGAAGCACCGGCUAACUCCGUGCCAGCAGCCGCGGUAAUACGGAGGGUGCAAGCGUUAAUCGGAAUUACUGGGCGUAAAGCGCACGCAGGCGGUCUGUUAAGUCAGAUGUGAAAUCCCCGGGCUUAACCUGGGAACUGCAUUUUGAACUGGCAGGCUUGAGUCUUGUAGAGGGGGUAGAAUUCCAGGUGUAGCGGUGAAAUGCGUAGAGAUCUGGAGGGAAUACCGGUGGCGAAGGCGGCCCCUGGGACAAAGACUGACGCUCAGGUGCGAAAGCGUGGGGAGCAAACAGGGAUUAGAUACC